AUGAACAUGUCCCAGAGCCCUGCCAGUGUCCUCCGCAAACACCAUACUUCACAACAACCAAGUGAAACCUUUCAUUUGGGGGGCAAUGUCAUCCUAAAUUUUCUGUUUUUCCUCCACCACAGACACCCCAGUGUUAUAGCGAGUGCUGUGGACAUGUCCCAGAGCCCUGCCGAUGUCCUCCACAAACACCAUCCUGCCCACCACCUUUCAUUCAGGGACAAUUUCACUCUAGAUUUUUUCUUCCUCCACCACAGACACCCCAGUGUUAUAGCGAGCGCCGUGAACAUGUCCAAGAGCCCUGCUAGUGUCCUCCACAAACACCAUCCUUCACCCCACCUUUCAUUCAGAGACAAUUUCACUCUAGAUUUUGUUUUUCCUCCACCACGGACACCCCAGUGUUCCUUACUCUCUCUCCAUUUUCUCCUAGAUUUUCUGUUUUUUUUCUCCUCUCUUCCCAGGGGAUUUUGCAGAGGGCACGGAAGCAGAGCAACACCGUUCCUGGCAUCUUCCCGUGCCAAGACUCCUCAACGGGAGCGAUGCCAACCGGUUGCAAAGGUGCAAUAUUUGGGAAGGGAGGAGCAGGCCUCUUUCCUGUAAACAUGCACCGCAUCUAAGCCCUUUUGGGUGGGACAACUGGCAAAAUUUCCUCAUUCCUGAGGCCCAUUAAUCCUAUUUAUUAAAAGACGACAGGCCUGGCAUCACCGAGCGCACGGAGAGGGCACAACUUGCAGAGUUUCCAUACUUGACAAACAAAGUCGAAAAUGCCGAAGUGGCAAGACAUGCCUGAAUGCAUGGACAUCCCUACAUUAUACCCAAAUACAGACCUGUAUAAUUUGCUAAUAAAGAAAACCAGCCAACGCACAUAUGAGUGGGUUUAUUCUCUGGACAAAAAUAGGAGAGGAAGAGGUUUCAGUCUGUUGAGCAACGGCAUUUCGAUUCUGGGGAGAUUAGCGACUUGGCUGUCCUUCGAAGCCAGCCGGGGCUUUCGAGGUCUCGGAGAAACACAAAGCGGACAGGAAAUUUAGCACAUACCGGCGGCACGCUGUGUGCAAAGCCCCGGGUUCCAAAAUUAUCUCAUUCCCAAAAUAAGCCAAUCGCAUUCCCAAAGCCCCCAAAGUGGUUGUUUCGGGGACCAGAAGCAAAGCUCUGAAAAGAAUGGGUGGGUUUCGUAUCUAUAUAUAUAAAAAUGUCAUGUGAGUUUUUGCCACGAAGUAAACAACAAAACCACUGAACCAAAUCGCACCAAAUUUGGCCACAAGAGACAUCGUCAUCCACUUUACGUCUUUCAAUCAAAAAAACCUAGAAAAAUAAAGUCCUAUAUAUAUAUGGAGCCUCCGGUGGCUCAGUGUGUUAAAGCCCUGGGCUGCUGAACUUCCAGACCGAAAGGUCCCAGGUUCAAAUCCCAGGAGCGGAGUGAGCUCCCGCUGUUAGCUCCAGCUCCUGCCAACCUAGCAGUUCGAAAACAUGCAAAUGUGAGUAGAUCAAUAGGUACCGCUCCGGCGGGAAGGUAACGGCGUUCCAUGCAGUCAUGCCAAUGGCCACAUGACCUUGGAGGUGUCUACGGACAACGCCGGCUCUUCAGCUUAGAAAUGGAGAUGAGCACCAACCCCCAGAGUCGGUCACGACUGGACCUAACGUCAGGGGAAAACUUUUACCUUUACCUUAUAUAUAUAAAUAUAACUAGCUGUGCCCGGCCACGCGUUGCUGUGGCAAAGUGGUGGUGGUAUUGGUUAAAAAUGGUUGUGUAAUUUUUAUUUGAUGUUUUUUGUAUUUUUUAUUAAUUUUAUUGUAAGUUAUAUUUUUAAAUAUUAUAUUUUAUUAUUUUCUUGUAUUAUUUUUAGUUAUUUUCUGUUAUUAUAGUAUUUUAUUGUAUUAAUUUUUUAGUGUUUUUAAUUAUUUUUUUAGUGUUUUUUAUUAUUUUUUAUUGGGUUGCUAGGAGACCAAGUUGGAGGAGCUUAGCCUUCUAACUGGCAGCAAUUGGAUAAAAGCAAUUAUUCCUCUCUCUCUAAUUAGGACUUUAUUUUUCUUUUCUUUUUGUUGUAUCAACCUAGAGGCAUGGAUGAUGGGUAGUGUUGUCAAAUUUCGAGGUUGGGGGGCCUGUAGUUUUGUUGUUUUGUGCGUCGCCGUGAUGCCAUCACUCUUUUAUAUAUAUAGAUGUGCAUUUUUCCCAUGAAGUAAACAACAAAACCACUGGACCAAAUCACACCAAAUUUGGCCACAAAAGACAUAGUCAUCCACUCUAUGUCUCUCAAUCAAAAAAACGUAGAAAAACAAAGUCGUCAUAUAUACUGUGCUGGAGAUGCUUUUAACUACUAUUGGUGUUUUAUAUCCAAGGUGUUCCUUGCUUGGGUUUUAAUACUGCUGUACGUACUUGGUUUUAUCUUGUUUUUAAUUAUGUUGGUGCUAAUCCAUGAAAUAUGUAGUAUUUCAAGGACAUAUCCUGACAUUGAUAUUUGCAGCAUUUUAAUGUUUUAAUGAUUUAUAUAGGGUUUUAACGGCAUGUUUGAUAUUGUAUGUGAUGGUCUGGCUUUUGUGUAUUUGUUUGUUUGUCUUACAUGUGAAAGACCUAUGGUCUAAGCAUUAAAUAAAUUUGAAUUUGAAUUUAUAAAUGUAAUGUGCAUUUUUCCCAUGAAGAAAACCUACCUUGAAUGGGAGCUUAGCGCAGCCUAACAUGGCUGCCGCUCCCCGGCCAAUCAGAAGCUUCCACGAUGGACGCAAAGGUGGGGGCUAACGUCCUCUGCGUCCACAUGGAAGAUUGCCAUACAAGCCCAGUGUGUAGCGAUUGCGCAUGCGCAUCCGCCAUUUUAGAAACAUUUAGAAUCAUUACGAAUUUUUGGAAAUAUCCUAAAUUUUUGGGUGAAAAAAUCGGAAAUACUUUCUAUAUCGAAGCGCCAGCGCCCCCUACUUUAGAAACGAGAAUUGAAACUUUUUUUUCAUCGAUCGGACAUGCCUAUUAUCUACUCUACGUCUUUCAAUUAAAAAAAACAUAGAAAAAGGAACAACCAGAAAUACUGUAUAAUAUAUUCACAAGCUUUAGGAAAUAACAUAUACUAACUAUCACCAAUUUCUCAAUACUUUAUUUCCCAUAUCACCACAGCAACGCGUGGCCGGGCACAGCUUAGUCGCUUCCCAAAAUAUUCCAAAAUCCAAGGUUCGAACCACAAUCAAAGUAAUCCUAGAAUGAGAGUUGGAAGACACAAUCCGAGCCUUCCCGACAGAUGGCCAUACAACCUCUGAAUCCUAGAAUCAUCACGGUUUUCUUUCUAACAAGAAAUCGAGCACAAUGCCAAGUUGGGAAGGCAGCUCUCCAAGACCUUGCCCAGCGGAACGGAGACUUCUGAGACAUUCCCAAAUGCGGGAGACAGAAAACUGGAAGCGGUGAGACCGAGACCGCGGAGGCCGAGCCAAAGCCGCCUGGCGCUCGCCCGGAUCUGUCUGCACUCCCCGGGCGCAAGGCUUCCUGGCUCUGGACCUGGGCCAGCCGACACAAAGACCCAAAGAGGGGAACGCUUUCGGAAGGGCAUCAGCAAAGCUGUCACUCCAAGUUUGAUUUCUGUUUUAACAGUCCAACAUCAACAGUCUCUUGGGUCCCAUCCAAACCGAACACUGAAUGAAUCUACACAGUGGACUUAAUGCGGUUUCACUCCACUUGGAUUGCCAUGGCUCGGUGCCAUGGAAAGCUGUAUAUAUUUCAGAUUUCAAUAUUAAUGUCAAAAAUACAUACUCAAGUAUAAGCCUAGUUUUUCAGCCCUUUUUUUUAAGACUGAAAAAGCCACCCUCGGCUUAUACUCGGCUGAGAGUCCGGGUUGGCUUAUAUUUGGGUCGGCUUAUACUCGAGAAUAUAUUAUACGUUUAUUAUUUUUAUACGUUUAUACAUUUAUUAUUUUUCUCUAUUAUUGGUAUUAUUACAUUUAUUAUUUUUCUCUAUUAUUGUUGCAACUAUUAAAUUUAUUAUUUUUCUCUAUUAUCGGUAUGAUUACAUUUAUUAUUUUUCUCUAUUAUUAUCAGUAUUAUUACAUUUAUUAUUUUUCUCUAUUAUUAUCGGUAUUAUUACAUUUAUUAUUUUUCUCUAUUAUUGUUGCAACUAUUAAAUUUAUUAUUUUUCUCUAUUAUUACUGGUAUUAUUACAUUUAUUAUUUUUCUCUAUUAUUACUGGUAUUAUUACAUUUAUUAUUUUUCUCUAUUAUUAUAGGUAUUAUUACAUUUAUUAUUUUUCUCUAUUAUUGUUGCUACUAUUAAAUUUAUUAUUUUUCUCUAUUAUUACUGGUAUGAUUACAUUUAUUAUUUUUCUCUUUUAUUACUGGUAUUAUUACAUUUAUUCUUUUUCUCUAUUAUUAUAGGUAUUAUUACAUUUAUUAUUUUUCUCUAU
ensembl:lncRNA